AACGGUCUAUACCUGCGGUACCUGCGGAAGGAUCAUUACAGGACUCGCAAGACUCCUACAACCCUGUGAACUUAACUAUAAGCACGUUGCUUCGGCGGGUGUCUCGGCGAGGGUUCUCCCUCCCCGGGGCGCUAAGCCCGCCGGCAGCCUACUAUACUCUGUCUCUUUGCGUUGGCAUCUCGAGUACAAACAAACAAGUUAAAACUUUCAACAACGGAUCUCUAGAUCGGAAGAGCACAC
rnacentral:misc_RNA from 1 species